rnacentral:rRNA from 1 species
CACGUAGGGCGCGAGCGUUGUCCGGAAUUAUUGGGCGUAAAGAGCUCGUAGGCGGCCUGUUGCGUCCGCUGUGAAAGCCCGGGGCUUAACCCCGGGUCGGCAGUGGAUACGGGCAGGCUAGAGGUAGGCAGGGGAGAAUGGAAUUCCCGGUGUAGCGGUGAAAUGCGCAGAUAUCAGGAGGAACACCAAUUGCGAAGGCAGCGCGCUGGGACGUAACUGACGCUGAGACGCGAAAGCGUGGGGAGCAAACAGG